rnacentral:rRNA from 1 species
GACGAACGCUGGCGGCGUGCCUAAUACAUGCAAGUUGAGCGCUGAAGGUUGGUACUUGUACCGACUGGAUGAGCAGCGAACGGGUGAGUAACGCGUGGGGAACCUGCCUUUGAGCGGGGGACAACAUUUGGAAACGAAUGCUAAUACCGCAUAAAAACUUUAAACACAAGUUUUAAGUUUGAAAGAUGCAAUUGCAUCACUCAAAGAUGAUCCCGCGUUGUAUUAGCUAGUUGGUGAGGUAAAGGCUCACCAAGGCGAUGAUACAUAGCCGACCUGAGAGGGUGAUCGGCCACAUUGGGACUGAGACACGGCCCAAACUCCUACGGGAGGCAGCAGUAGGGAAUCUUCGGCAAUGGACGAAAGUCUGUCCGAGCAACGCCGCGUGAGUGAAGAAGGUUUUCGGAUCGUAAAACUCUGUUGGUAGAGAAGAACGUUGGUGAGAGUGGAAAGCUCAUCAAGUGACGGUAACUACCCAGAAAGGGACGGCUAACUACGUGCCAGCAGCCGCGGUAA